rnacentral:SRP_RNA from 1 species
GCUGGGCGUGGUGGCGGGCGCCUGUAGUCCCAGCUACUCGGGAGGCUGAGACAGGAGAAUCGCUUGAACCUGGGAGGUGGAGUUUGCAGUGAGCCAAGAUCAUGCCACUGCACUCCAGCCUGGGUGACAGAGCAAGACCCUGUCUCAA